rnacentral:rRNA from 1 species
UUGGUUUGUAAUAGACCAAGAGGUAAUGAUUAACAGAAGUAGUCGGGGGCAUUGGUAUUACGGCGCGAGAGGUGAAAUUCGUAGACCGUCGUAGGACCCACAGAAGCGAAAGCGUUUGCCAAGGAUGCUUUCAUU